GUGCAUUAUAAAUUCAUAAUUUUAUUUUAUAUACUUUGUUUCAGAUAGAGAAAUGAACAUUGUUUUGCUCAUUAGCAGUUGGUAGAUAAUGAUGUUAAAUCAUGUGACGUAAUUUGAUAUGCUAGUUCCCUUAGAUGGGAACACUAUCAUGCAUGUAUACAACUUUCCAGUGAAGCAAAUAAGAAGAGAAACCUUUGUUUGAGUUAAUGAAUUAAAAACUAUUUGAAAGUGGUGUGUAGAACAGUAUAAAUCAGAGAGAUGACAACCGAAGUUACAUAGUCACAACCUUUCGAAAACUUAAAAGAAUUAUUCGAUAACGUGGGUAAUUUGAAACCAUGACCGGAAAUUGAAUAACUACGAGAUUCAACUGAUUAUGUGUACAGUGGUUUAGAAAUAAGCGCAGAAAGAACGCAGUUAGAAAAAUUGGAUAGAGAAGUACAUCCUAAAACGUUGCUUCGUCAUGAUAUGAAAGGUGGCUGCCUAGAAGACAGGUAAUAGAAAUCGCUAUAUUUAUCAAUUCAUAUAUUAUACAUAAUAUACCCGUGAUUUUUCAGAUUUAUAUAUCGAUCAGAAUCUUAUGAUUCUUACCUAUUUUAUCACUGGAGUGUUAUUGACACGUUUGUGUAUUUUAGUCAUCAUUUCAUAAUUGCGCCACCUUUUGGAUGGAUUAAUGUAGCACAUAAUCAUGGUGUAAAAGUUCUUGGUACUGUAAUUACGGAAAGAGAGAAGGUACCUGGGAUGUAAUACUUGAAUCUCAGGAAGAAGUAAGAAGAUUUGCAGAUGCAUUAAUACUUGUUGCAAAAUUUUAUAAAUUCGAUUUUAUAAGUCUGGUUGUUAAAUAUUGAAAAUACCAUUAAAAAGAUUUCUUUUUAAACUGCGAUGGCAUUUACUUGAAUUAUAACUGGACGAAAUCAAAAUUGGAAAACGGUUUGGCACUUGCAAAAAAUCACAGCAGAGAUAUUCAUGAUAUUUAUGUAGGACUUGAUAUUUGGGGAAGAUGUUGUCCUGGUGGUGGUGGAUUUAAUUCAACAUAUGCUUUACAAAAAAUACGACACGAAGGACUUUCUGUCGCGCUUUUUGGUCCAGGUUGGACUCACGAAUUUUUCGUAUCUAAGACAUUCCAAGAAAUAGAAGAUCUAUUUUGGGCACAGUUGUUUCCUUGUUUAUAGCAAACGGAAGUCAACACGAACCAAUACUAGUUCUCAGCAAUAAUACCGGCUUAAAAUCCAUCGUUCGUUAUAAAUAAAGGGAUUUGGUUACCAACUGGAAAAGAUGAAAGCAGAUAUAUAUGUGUCUGGUUAACAUUAUGAUUAGCUGCCUGUAAGGAAUCUUCAUUUGGACUAGACCAACCACAAUAGCCAUACGGACGACGAUGCGCUAGCCACUAGCACUGCAAUCGAUAAGCAAUACACCAUACCCAAAACAACAGCACAAGAAAUUAGAAGUAUAAUCGAAAAAACAAAAAACAACAAAGCACCAGGAAUCGAUCUAAUCAAUGGCAAAAUAUUGAAAAACCUCCCUCCAAAAGCGAUACGACUAAUCACUAUAAUAUUCAAUGCAAUACUAAGAAUACAAUAUUAUCCUACAUUAUGGAAACAGGCACA